UACGGAGGGUGCAAGCGUUAUCCGGAUUCACUGGGUUUAAAGGGUGCGUAGGAGGGCAGGUAAGUCAGUGGUGAAAUCUCCGAGCUUAACUUGGAAACUGCCGUUGAUACUAUCUGCCUUGAAUAUUGUGUAGGUGAGCGGAAUAUGUCAUGUAGCGGUGAAAUGCUUAGAUAUGACAUAGAACACCAAUUGCGAAGGCAGCUCGCUACGCAUAUAUUGACUCUGAGGCACGAAAGCGUGGGGAUCAAACAGG
rnacentral:rRNA from 1 species